UGCUACAACACCCUGGCCACAUCAGGAAAUAGGAUCAUUCAGGGUUGGUAGACUUUCAAAGGCCUGCAUUCAAGACCCUGAGGCAGGCCCUUCCAUUCUCUGAGACUGUGCCAGCACAAAGGCAAGGUGGGGACUGAGAGAAAACAAGGAAGGACACGAGAAGUCAACAACACCAACAGUCAGAUGUUUUCUGCUGGGGCGCUGGGGUGGGGAAACUUCUCCUGUGCCAAUAUCCUUCCACCUAGGAGCUGGAACUGGACAACAUACCCCAUGAAUGGAAACCUGUGUUCUAGCGACUUUAAUGAGGAAAAAUGGUGAGUCAACACUCCAAGUUUGAGCAAUACCACAUUUUUAGUUUUCUGAAUCCACCUUCUGGCCUCACACACCAAGGUCAGGGAGAAAUCUAGUAGCUGUCAUUUUUGUUUUUGUUUGGUGUUAGUUUCUUGCUCUCAGAAGGAGAGUGCUGAUGCUAUCCUGGUAACUUGGAAGAGAGACUCUGGGUGGCAGUCGAUGGCAUGGCCAUUAUCACUCCUUCUUCUAGGACAUGCUGGGGUGGAAAGCUGUUCCCUCCACUUGUUGGCACUGAGUGCUCUGGGUUCUCCUGCCUUCUUGUCUGUGGUUCCUAGGCCACAGGAAUUGAGAUGCUCUUCCCAGGAGCCCAGCAUCCAUACAGUUACCCUCUGGCCAACAGCCUUCCAUAUUUGAAGUGCUUUACAAGAGGUGGCCUCUAUUUUGGGCACGCUACACAGAAGUCUACAAUCCCUACCCCUUCGCAGUCUCCAGGAAGGAAGACACAGCCCUCCUUCUCUUACCUGGAAAAAUGAAGAGAACUGGCAAUGCACCUAUAGAGCAGGAGAAACCAAAACUCAAGAUUGCCUGCCCUUUCCCAGAUAUGAAUGGAAAAUUUACCUGUUCAUUCUUUGGCACUGAUUCUACCACAGUGAAGCAAAGCAUAGGCUAGAUAAUUAUUAACAACAGCCUGCCGGAUACAGAGGCUGUUUCUCCCUCCUCCCACUUUUGGUGAAUAGCAGUAAAAUUGUUCACACUUUCUUUCCCACAACAAUGUGGACAUUAAACUCCCAGAGAGUCCUCACCACAUGUUCACUUUUCAAUAUAAUUACAAUAGGAGGCACAGUUAGGUUACUAUCUGUGAUAAUCCCUCUACUGACUUCCAUUAGCAGUAUUAUUUUAUAUUACCAUUUAUUGUGAGCUCAUAUGUGGCGAGUAUUGGGGCAUAAAGGGUCACAGCUGAUACCCCUGUAGCACAAGACAGGUUAGCAAGAGAGAAGCAUGCAAGCUAUUUGAACAGUUUUAAGUGAUGGAGGAACCUUCAGAUGGAAGACUUAAAGACCCAGGGCGAUCUACUGGAUUUUAAGUUUAGGUUUGAUGAAGCAAGAGCAGCAGUGUUAGAAAUGUAAUUGGGCAAGAUAAGAGGGUGAUUGACACAGUAAACGUUAAAGGAAGUAGACUGAGUGGGGAAACCCAGCAAGGUCCUUUCAGAUUCUUCUUGGCCUCUCAAGUUGGGCAUGAUGCCUCAUGGCUGUCUGCAAUCCCAGCUACUCUGGAAGCUGAAGCAGGAGGAUAGCAAAUUCAAGGCCAACCUCGACCUUAGUAACUUAGUGAGAUCAUAUCUCAAAAAAUAAAAUGGGCUAGAGACAUAGUUCAAUUCCAGGGUAAGGUGCUCCAGAGAUCAAUUCCCAGUAUGAAAAAAAUGAAGAUUCUUCUUGGCCCCUCAGUUGUAACUUUCUGUGGAUUGGGGAUCAUAUGACCUACUGUCAAACUAAGUAGAUCAAAACAUUUCUUUAUGACCAGCUUUUAUACGGAGAAAUAUUUUUAGGUUUUAUGGCUAGCAGAAAAGGAAUUUUUCAGAUUCUAUGAACUGCCUUGGGAAGUGGAAUUCCAAUUUCAACAGCUUGCCUUGGGAGACAAGGAUAGAGGGUGAGACAGGAAGGCAGAAGAAGGAAAGAGAGAAAUUCUAUGUCUGAGGACUUCUUGUGCAGUAUUGUUUUCUGAGCCCCAAGAUCAGCAUGGUAUUAAGAUCUGUACAUAUAUUAUCUUAUUUUAUUCAUUACAAUCUUUUGAAGUAUGCAUUAUUAUCCCCAUUUUCCAAAUGUAGAAAUCAAAUUUAGAGAUAUUAAAUUAUCCAAGAUUACCACCUAGUAUGUAUAAGAACUGAAUUUGGGAACACAUGGCCUGAAUCCCAAGCCUCAGCCUUAACCUUUCCAUGAUCCACCACCAACAGGUAAUAUUUCAAGGUCCCUGGCUGACAUCAGUACAUCUAGCCACUCCUACCUCUCAAGGCUUCUGUAAGGCUGCAUAUCACAUUUCAGGUAUAUCAAAGAACUUGCUUACAACUUGCCUGAACCCACCCUGCAGUUUUAUACCUUAUUGUCUCUCUGCCAGGGUCACCUGCUAUGCAAAUCAUUCAUCCCAGAAACAGGAGCACCUUUGGGAAAACUUCAAUCUUUUCCCCAGGUUGGGUUUUUAUCCUCACCCUAUAGUCCCCUAGCACCCCAGGCAUUCUGCAAUCACUGUCUUUACCACAUUUUAGUGGAGUACUGUAUUUUCUGCUAAUUUAUUUGUUCUACUAGAACUUGAACUCCUUUAAAAAUAUGGGAGAUAAAUAUGUGUGUGUGUGUGUGUGUGUGUGUGUGUGAUAUCACCCAUGUUUUGGGGAUAUACACACAUAUCUAUGUAUCUAUCUAUAUAUCUAUAUCUAUCUAUCUAUAUCUAUAUCUAUCUAUCUAUCUAUAUCUAUCUAUCUAUCUAUAUAUAUAUAUACAUCCACACACCCAUAAUGCAUUCAUAUAUAUGCACAUAGAGUGCUCCUGAGUUCAAUUCCCAGUAUACACACACACACACACACACACACACACACACAUCUGCAUCACUUUGGGAGAGUAUCAGAGAUUGAACUCAGACACAUUCAAAAACUGAGCCACAUCUCCAGCCCUAUUUUGUAUUUUAUUUAGAGACAGAGUCUCACUGAGUUGCUUAGCAUCUUGCUUUUUGCUGAGGCUGGCUUUGAACUCGCAAUCCUCCUGCCUCAGCCUCCCAAGCCACUGGAAUUACAGGUAUGUGCUACCGUGCCUGGCUGCAUCACCUAUUUUUAAUCUCCAGCCCUUAGUACAUCAGUAUUACUCAUUAGAUAAUAAAUAGUUUCUGACUUGCACUACUGAUGAUAUUAAAUGAGUUUCCAAUGCUUAUCUAAACAUCUUACCUGAAAAUUUGGAACAACAGAUAAAAACAAUCAUCAUUUAAUCCAACCAAUAUCUAUCUCAAAAUCACUAAAAGAAGGAAUCUGAGAAAAAUUGAUUAUCUCAAAAUUUAGUUCAAUAGGGUAUAUAAAGGUGACAGGAUGGGUAAGAAAAUAAGGAACUGAGUACAAGUUUCUCUUACCAACUUUCCAGCUCAGGAAAACUUCUUGACUUCUCUAUGCUUUGGUUGGUUCAUCUGUUGAAUAGGAUUAAUUGUAUCUAAUCAACUACAAAUGGUUGAUGUGAGAUUCAAAUGAGAUAAUGUUUAUGGAAAGACCUGGCAAACUGAAAACAUAUAAUAAAAAGCUUUUGUCUUGUUAUUGCUUUUCACAGAGCCUGAAAAACAGUAAAUGUGCAAUUGCUAUUAGAAUAAAUUAAUAAUCAAAUUUUUUAUUUCCUAUUAUUGAGCUAUUAACAGAUUAAUUAAUUUGCCUAAGAUUCCUUCUGGACGUUAAGUCCCUUAAGAAUCAAGUUUUUUUUAUCUCGGGCACUGAACACAGUGCCUAUCCCUGGGUAGGUUCUCCAUGAACAUCUGUGGAAGGAAGAAAGAGAAGGAGGAAGAAGGAAUAUCAUAAGUUAGGAAUAACUAAAACCCCAGGGAUGCCAAGUUCCUGGUCAUAGAUCUGUUCUAUGACCCUGGCAUUAGGUGCUGAACUGGUCAAUGGUUCUCAGAGUCAGGUCAUCAGCCAGCAACAGCAGUAGCCUUUGGAAACAUGAGAUGCAGGUUCGAAAGCUCCACCCCAGAUCUGCUGAGUCAGAAUCCCUGGGGUGGGGCCCAGCAACCCGUAUUCUAAGAAGACCUCAGAUAAUUCUGAGGGACCUCAAAGUUUGAUAAAAUUGCUGGAGGAGAAACUCUUCAUUUGCUGCUUAUAUUUGAUAUUGAACAGGGGUGGGGGAAGUGAACUUAUUAAUAGCUUUUAAUAAUAUACCAUAGAAACCUAAAUACAAUACUCUGUCAUUUCCUGUUAUUUCAAAACCUUUUUGAUACAAAGGAGAUAUAUUUUUGUAAAGAAUGUGUCAAUAACAUAAUACUUAAUAAUGACAUAUUUAAAAAUAGCUAAAAGAGAAAGUUUUAAAUGUUCUUACAGAAAGAAAUAUUUCAGGCAAUAGAUAAUUCAGGCAAUAGCUAAUUACUGAUUUGAUUAUUCCACAAUGUAUAAAUGUAUUGAAAUAUCGCUUUGUACUCUAUAAACAUAUAGAAUUAUUUGUCAGUUAAAAAUAAAGCUAUGGGCUGGGGAUGUGGCUCAAGCGGUAGCGCGCUCACCUGGCAUGCAUGCGGCCCAGGUUCGAUCCUCAGCACCACAUACAUAAAGAUGUUGUGUCCGCCGAAAACUAAAAAAUAAAUAUUAAAAUUCUCUCUCUCUCUCUCUCUCUCUCUCUCUCUCAUCUCUCUCUCUCUCUUUAAAAUAAAUAAAUAAAGCUAAAAUGCUAUUUUGAGUGAAAAUAACAUUUACUGAAUUUUUUUAAAGGAGAAAAGACUGUGUGUUCUUUGCUAAUAGCAUGGAUAAUCUGAAAAAUGAUUGUAACAGUUACAUGGUAUGUAUUGCCAGGGACUACUCUAAUCACUUUCUCUAUCUUAUUUGAAAAAAAUUUCAUGAGGUGGGUACAAUUUUGUUAUGCCCAUUUUGCAGAGGAAAUUGAGGCAUAUAGAGGUUUAUAUAAUUCAGAAAAGGUCACAGAGCCAGCAAAUGGUAGGACCAGGAUUUAGAUUCACAGAAUCUGUGUGAAUCAUCACUAUGCUGUUCUACAGACCUACAACUUAGAGAUAAUAACUAUUAAUGUUUACAGAUAAUUUAGUAUUUUCCUUCAGAUUGGUAAAUAUAUAUAUAUACUUAUACAAGCAUGCAUGUGAAAACAUAUUGAUAAAUGCAGUUAUUUACAAUUUACUUCCUUCCAUGCAAAUAAUUUCAUAUGUUUUUUUUAAAUCUCUUGGAAACUUUUUUUUUUUGGUACUGGAUAGAAACAAGGGGUGCUUUACCUCUCAGCUACAUCCUCAGCUCUUUUUAUUUUGAGAUGGGGACUCCCCAGGUUGCCCAGUCUGGCCUCAGUCUUUCAAUCCUCUGCCUCAGCUUCCCAAGUCACAGGGAUUACAGGCAUGAUUCUCUGCAUUUGACUUUUUAAUUUUUUAAAAAACAAAUGUUAUAAUUUUGAAAAAAAUAUUGGUCUCUUUCAGCGACCUGCACUGACCAGAUGAGCUGGGUUCAAAAGAGCUGGCUGUAACAUCAAACUAAGAAAACGGUGAAGAAACCACACAACACUUGGAAAUGAGUUUUUCAGAUCGAGAAUGGAACUGCUGUGUGACCUUAAGGGUCUUCUUCCAUGCGGGAAGGCAAGACAGCAUGCACAUGGAAUAGGCUUUUUCAAAAGAAUGUUCUUCACCAAAGAAGUCAGGGGAUAAGGUUUCAAAGGGGAAUUGUCCAAUCCCUUUGGGUAAAGCCCAAGUCCAGGGCUAGAGCAAAAUUCUUUGCCAUGCAAAGGUGGAGGCCACUUGCUUCACACAGGGCAUGGUGUGGAAUGCCAGACCAAACACCCCCCUUAUCAAGGCUGAGAGAGGAGGCUCGGCUCAUGGGCAGGGUAGCCUCCCACAUAUUGGGCCACAAACCCACAUAAAUACAGUUUAUUUCUGUAUUUAUUUCUAUAUCUCAUACUAGACAAAGGUGCCAAAAACAUAUAUUGAGAAAGAAUAGCCUCUUCAACAAACACUGCUGGGAAAACUGGAAAUCUAUAUGCAACAAAAUGAAAUUAAGCUCCUAUUUCUCACAUGCAUAAAACUCAACCCAUAUGUAUCAAGAACCUAGGAAUCAAGCCAGAGACCCUACACUUAAUAAAAAAAUAAGUGGGCCCAAAUCUUCAUCAUGUUGGAUUAGGCCCCAACUUCCUGAAUAAGACUCCUAUAGUGCCAGAAAUAAAAUCAAGAAUCAACAAAUGGGAUGUAUUCGAACUAAAAAAAAGAAAAAAGAAAAGAAACAAUCAGUGAGGUGAAUAGAGAGUCUGCAGAAUGGGACCAAAUCUUGACCUCUUGCACAUCCCAUAGAACCCUAAUCUCUAGGAUAUAUAAAGAACUCAAAAAUCUUAACACCAAAUAAACAAAUAACCCAAUUAAUAAAUGGACCAAGGAAUUGAACAGAAGAAGCCUCAGAAGAUGACAUACAAUCAACAAAUAUAUGAACAAAUAAAUGUUCAACAUCCCUAGCAAUUAGAGAAAUGCAAAUCAAAACUACUCUAAGAUUUCAUCUCACUCCAGUCAGAGUGGCAGCUAUUAAGAAUACAAACAACAGGAAGUAUUGGUGAGGAUGUGGGGAGAAGGGAACACCCAUACAUUUCUGGUGGGACUGCAAAUUGUUGCAACCAAUAUGGUAAGCAGUAUGGAGAUUCCUUUGAAAACAUGGAAUGGAACCACCAUUUGACCCAGCUAUCCCACUCCUCAGUUUAUACCCAAAGGACUUAAAAACAGCAUACUAUAGUAACCUAACCACAUCAAUGUUUAUAACAGCUCAAUUCAAAACAGCUAAAUUGGGGAACCAACCUAGAUGCCCUCUGAAGAUGAAUGGAUAAAGAAACUGUGAUAUAUAUAUACAUAGUGGAAUAUUACUGGAAUAUUACUUAGCAUUAAAAGAAAAUAAAAUUAUGGAAUUUGCAGGCAAAUGGAUGGAGUUGGAGAAUAUUAUGCUGAGUGAAGUAAGCCAAUCCCAAAAUACUAAAUGAUAUGAAUAAAUAUAAUAUAAAUAAAUAUAUAAUAAAUAAAUAAAUGUAUAAUAAAUACUUCUCUGAUAUGAGGAUGCUGAUCCAUAAUCGGGAUGGGAGGAGAGCAUGGGUGGAAUGGAGGAACUUUAGAUAGGAGGAACUUUAGUGGGAGGGGAUAUGAGGUAGGAUACAGUGGAAUGAGAUGGACAUCAUUACCCCAAGUACAUGUUUGAAGACAUGAAUGGUGUGACUCUACUUUGUGCACAACCAGAGACAUGGAAAAAAUGUGCUCUAUAUGUGUACUAUGAAUUGAAAUGCAUUCUGCUGUCAUAUAUAACAAAUUAGAAUAAACAAAUAAAAAUUUAAAAAGAG
rnacentral:lncRNA from 1 species